AAGAGAAAACGCGUGAUUUUCGGUUAAAUGGGGAUUCUCAAAGAGAAAACACGUGAUUUUCGCUUAAAUGGGGGAUUUGCGAAGAGAAAACGCAUGAUUUUUGGGUUAAAUGGGGGAUUCUCGAAGAGAAAACGCGUGAUUUUGGGUUAAAUGGGGGAUUUGCAAAGAGAAAACGCGUGAUUUUUGGUUAAAUGGGGGAUUUGCGAAGAGAAAACGCGUGAUUUUGGGUUAAAUGGGGGAUUUGCGAAGAGAAAACGCGUGAUUUUCAGGAUAAAUGGUGUAUUCUCGAAGAGAAAAGACGUGAUGUUCGCUUAAAUGGGGGAUUUGCAAAGAGAAAACGCGUGAUUUUCGAAUUAAAUGGGGGAUUCUCGAAGAGAAAACGGGUGAUUUUCGCUUAAAUGGGGGAUUUGCGAAGAGAAAACGCAUGAUUUUUGGGUUAAAUGGGGGAUUCUCGAAGAGAAAACGGGUGAUUUUCGGUUAAAUGGGGAUUUGUGAAAAGAAAAAGUGUGAUUUUCGAGUUAAGUGGGGGAUUCUCGAAGAGAAAAUGGGUGAUUUUCGCUUAAAUGGCGGAUUCUCGAAGAGAAAACGCGUGAUUUUCGGGUUAAAUGGGGGAUUCUCGAAGAGAAAAAGGGUGAUUUUGGGGUUAAAUGGGGGAUUUGCGUAGAGGAUACGCGUGAUUUUCGGGUUAAAUGGGGGAUUUGCGAAGAGAAAACGCGUGAUUUUCGGGUUAAAUGGGGGAUUCUCAAAGAGAAAACGUGUGAUUUUCGGGUUAAAUGGGGGAUUUGCGAAGAGAAAACGCGUGAUUUUCGGGUUAAAUGGGGGAUUCUCAAAGAGAAAACGCGUGAUUUUCGCUUAAAUGGGGGAUUUGCGAAGAGAAAACGCAUGAUUUUGGUUAAAUGGGGAUUCUCGAAGAGAAAACGGGUGAUUUUCG
ensembl:lncRNA